GGCAGUAGCUUAAAUAUAUCAGUGGAUGUCACCAAAAUGUUAGAUUUGUUCUUUGAGUUAUGGAAAUUGGUGAAGUGUGUCCGUUAAAGAACGCCGUACUUGGCGUCCGUUACGGUGCGCUGGCAGUACAACGGUCAGUAUUUGCUGUGAAUUCUGAAGUAUUUGCUGUGAAUUCUGAAGUAUUUGCUGUGAAUUCUGAAGGCGAAGCCGCUGCGCUGUCGGGUGGCCGAAUAAACGAUCUGAACCACGAUCGCAACCCGUGUGUGUCCGAUUCCUGCCUCAAGUUUCCUUCCGACAACAACAAUUAAAGAAAAACACAACGCAGAGUCUAAGGAACAGCGAGGUCUCAUCCCACACUUAAAGGGUUACAUCUUUGGUGCCGUGACCCGGAUCGUGGUGCUUCAAGAUCACCUAGGCAACAACGCCAGCAGCCCGGUUACCCAACGGUUUCGUUCGGGCAGUUAGUUGAGUAUACAAUUUGAGUUAGUGUGUGAAGCUGAAGCUGCAACAUAUUAUUUUAGUGUCAUUUUUAUUGCACUGUUAAGGUAAAAAAAAAAAAAAAAAAAAUUGUUUGUGAACUACAUUUUGUUUGAAAUAUUUCUUAUAUUGUGACGAUAUCCUGUUUCUUUUUUUUUUGUCUAAUUAGAAUUUGUGUGAGUGCGUUAAGAUAAUCUAAUUAUUUAUUUAUCUUUGACUUAUAAAAAACAAAAAAAACAAAAAAAAGUUAAUUACAUGUUGUUUGAAAUAUUUAUUAUAUUGUGAUUAUAUUCUGAUAAUUUAUAUAAGUUUAACUGUAAUUUUGGGAGUGAUUCAAAAUAACUGUGCCACAAAGUUAUUUAUGUAUUUAUUUAUUCAUUUAUUUAUUCACAAUUAAACGCUAAAAAAGGAACAUACACAUACAAACAUACAUUUUGGCUGUCUACAUUAAUU